CUCCCUCUUUCUCUUCCCCUCUCUUUCUCUCCCUGUCUUUUUGUCUCUCUUUAUGUCUAUUGCAUUAUGCCUGAAUAAUUUUCACUCUUUUUUUUUCCUCCCCUCUUGCACGCACAUGUUAAAAUAACAAGACAAAGAUGCAAGGUGGUUGCUGCAGUCCCUGUCUCUAGGAAAGAACCAAGAAAGCUUGGGAUUGCAAUGCCACCUUUCCUUUUUUUCUUUCUUUUCUUUUUUUUUUUCCCCAGCCAUGCUCGGUGAUUAAACUUCCUCAGGAUGGGGAAGAAAAGGAGCUGGAAAUGAAACAGGGUUGAGGAAAAAUCCCAUUGCAGCAGCUGCAGCUAGUGGUGUGUGCUGCCAGAUGUGCGAAGGUUGCUGGGGUCCUUGUCACUAAAAGGCAGUAUUCAAAUAUUUGGAGACAAAAGCUGCAUCCUCAGUGAUCAUUUUCUUUAUUUAACAUGGCAGCAGGCAUCAUGUGGGAAAAAAUCAACACGCUGGACGUUGAAUUGGACUUUUCUCCUUCCUGGGAUGAAAGGAUGUUAUCUAUCCCGUGCCAAGAGGGAACUGAGCACAGAAGCGAUGAAUGCUGCAUAAUUAAGUACAGUAUUUAAUUUGGCUGUUGUGAAGCAAAAGAAUAAGGUGCAGGGGGAGGGGAAGAAAGUCUUCAAAACUAG